rnacentral:rRNA from 1 species
CGUGGCGGACGGGUGAGUAACGCGUGAGUAACCUGCCUUUCAGAGGGGAAUAACGUUCUGAAAAGAACGCUAAUACCGCAUAACGUACAGUUACCGCAUGGUAGCAGUACCAAAGGAGCAAUCCGCUGAAAGAUGGACUCGCGUCCGAUUAGCUAGUUGGUGGGGUAAAGGCCUACCAAGGCGACGAUCGGUAGCCGGACUGAGAGGUUGAACGGCCACAUUGGGACUGAGACACGGCCCAG